rnacentral:misc_RNA from 1 species
AAAGUCGUAACAAGGUCUCCGUAGGUGAACCUGCGGAGGGAUCAUUAACACAAUACAACAUUCGUUCGUUAGCCAGUAGUAGUACUAACAUUAUUGCUGCUACUGCUGCUCUGCUGGCGAGCGGCUGCUUGUUAACCAAACACGCGAACUUGGUAAAUGUAGUCCAAUUUCAACAUAUCAUUAUCCUACUACUACUAUAUGUAUGUAUGUGGAUACUAAUAUGGGACUCAUUUCCGAUCCCUUUUUGUUCAACACAACCCAUUUCACCGUUUUUAUCUCCCAAUUGACAACUAAUGUUAACUAACUAACACAAGUUAUAUACGAAUGUUAAGUAAGCACAACUCUUAGCAACGGAUAUCUUGGUUCUC